UACGUAGGGUGCAGGCGUUAAUCGGAAUUACUGGGCGUAAAGCGUGCGCAGGCGGUUUGCUAAGACAGGUGUGAAAUCCCCGGGCUUAACCUGGGAACUGCGCUUGUAACUGGCAAGCUAGAGUGUGGCAGAGGGGGGUGGAAUUCCACGUGUAGCAGUGAAAUGCGUAGAGAUGUGGAGGAACACCGAUGGCGAAGGCAGCCCCCUGGGACGUAACACCUGCGCUCAUGCACGAAAGCGUGGGGAGCAAACAGGAUUAGAGUACCCCAAGUAGUC
rnacentral:rRNA from 1 species